UACGUAGGGGGGCAAGCGUUGUCCGGAUUUAUUGGGCGUAAAGAGCUUGUAGGCGGUUUGUCGCGUCUGCUGUGAAAAUCCGGGGCUCAACCCCGGACUUGCAGUGGGUACGGGCAGACUAGAGUGUGGUAGGGGAGACUGGAAUUCCUGGUGUAGCGGUGAAAUGCGCAGAUAUCAGGAGGAACACCAAUGGCGAAGGCAGCUCGCUGGGACGGUACUGACGCUGAGACGCGAAAGCGUGGGGAGCAAACAGG
rnacentral:rRNA from 1 species